UACAGAGGUGGCAAGCGUUGUUCGGAAUUACUGGGCGUAAAGGGCGCGUAGGCGGCCUUCUAAGCCUUGUGUGAAAUCCCUCGGCUCAACCGGGGAACUGCGUCUGAUACUGGUUGGCUUGAGUGCAGGAGAGGAACGCGGAAUUCCAGGUGUAGCGGUGAAAUGCGUAGAUAUCUGGAGGAACACCGGUGGCGAAGGCGGCGUUCUGGACUGCAACUGACACUGAGGAACGAAAGCCAGGGGAGCAAACGGG
rnacentral:rRNA from 1 species